GUGUUUGCUUCAAUACCACAUCUACUAAAAUCAGAACAAUACAGAGAAGAUUAGCAUGGUCCCUACACAAGGAUGACAUGUAAAUUCACGAAGUGUUUCAUAUUUUU